GGAGAGAUGCCGGAGCGGUUGAACGGGCCCGUCUCGAAAACGGGUAGGCGCCCAAAAGGUGCCUCGUGGGUUCGAAUCCCACUCUCUCCGCCA
rnacentral:tRNA from 1 species